rnacentral:rRNA from 1 species
GGACUGUAGGCUGCAACUCGCCUACACGAAGUCGGAAUCGCUAGUAAUCGCGGAUCAGCAUGCCGCGGUGAAUACGUUCCCGGGCCUUGUACACACCGCCCGUCACACCAUGGGAGUUUGUAACGCCAAAGUCGGUGGCCUAACCUUUAUGGAGGGAGCCGCCUAAGGCGGGACAGAUGACUGGGGUGAAGUCGUAACAAGGUACC